GCUCCCGGAUGUUAGCGGCGGACGGGUGAGUAACACGUGGGUAACCUGCCUGUAAGACUGGGAUAACUCCGGGAAACCGGAGCUAAUACCGGAUAGUUCCUUGAACCGCAUGGUUCAAGGAUGAAAGACGGUUUCGGCUGUCACUUACAGAUGGACCCGCGGCGCAUUAGCUAGUUGGUGAGGUAACGGCUCACCAAGGCGACGAUGCGUAGCCGACCUGAGAGGGUGAUCGGCCACACUGGGACUGAGACACGGCCCAGACUCCUACGGGAGGCAGCAGUAGGGAAUCUUCCGCAAUGGACGAAAGUCUGACGGAGCAACGCCGCGUGAGUGAUGAAGGUUUUCGGAUCGUAAAGCUCUGUUGUUAGGGAAGAACAAGUGCAAGAGUAACUGCUUGCACCUUGACGGUACCUAACCAGAAAGCCACGGCUAACUACGUGCCAGCAGCCGCGGUAAUACGUAGGUGGCAAGCGUUGUCCGGAAUUAUUGGGCGUAAAGGGCUCGCAGGCGGUUUCUUAAGUCUGAUGUG
rnacentral:rRNA from 1 species